rnacentral:rRNA from 1 species
GACGAACGCUGGCGGCGUGCUUAACACAUGCAAGUCGAACGAAAAGAGGAAAAGAGCUUGCUCUUUCCGGAAUUGAGUGGCAAACGGGUGAGUAACACGUAAACAACCUGCCUUCAGGAUGGGGACAACAGACGGAAACGACUGCUAAUACCGAAUAAGUUCCAAGAGCCGCAUGGCCCAUGGAAGAAAAGGUGGCCUCUACCUGUAAGCUAUCGCCUGAAGAGGGGUUUGCGUCUGAUUAGCUGGUUGGAGGGGUAACGGCCCACCAAGGCGACGAUCAGUAGCCGGUCUGAGAGGAUGAACGGCCACACUGGAACUGAGACACGGUCCAGACUCCUACGGGAGGCAGCAGUGGGGAAUCUUCCGCAAUGGGCGAAAGCCUGACGGAGCAACGCCGCGUGAGUGAUGACGGCCUUCGGGUUGUAAAACUCUGUGAUCCGGGACGAAAAGGCAGAGUGCGAAGAACAAACUGCAUUGACGGUACCGGAAAAGCAAGCCACGGCUAACUACGUG